AUUUUUUCGGAAUUUUUGGACCUCGUUUUCGGUCCCGAGGCAGAGUAAAAAUUCAAAAUUUUGUAUUUCGAAUCGAACCGGCCGAAUCGAACUGGACCGGAUCGGACCGGUCGAAUCGAACCGGCUCCCUUUCCUUUUUCUUCUCCCGCGCGCGUCGUCCCUCUCUUUUCUCUUUCUUUUCUCUCUCCUCCCCUCCCCUGCGCACGCGAGUCGCUCCAGUUUCUCCGGCCAAAUCCGGCCGAUCCGGCCACCGAUUGGACCGGGUCUUGUGUCUAAAAUCAUCUACUCGGCGAGAGCUUUCCAUAGACACCAAGAACGCCGAAAUCCAUCGAGCGGUUUGUCCGAUUUUUUGCUCGGGAAGAUUUUAGCCCAUUUCGACUUUUGGGCUAGAUUUCUCGAAAACCGUGAAUCCCACGAGGAAACCGAGGCCACCAGCACGCUCCAUUCGUCGAGAGCUUCGCAACGACAUAAAUUUCGAAUUUUUCCGACACCGAUUUUCGGUGUGUCCCACGGAACUUCGCAGUGUAUCCUCGAUUCGCGGAAAUUCGACAGUUGACCGGGUCUGCAAAUUUCGGGCCAGACAGACCCGUGACCGGAAAAGUCUCCGAAUUGGGCCGAGGUUUUGGCUAGCCCCCCAUUGUCAGACGUCCCGAGCGCGUCCCCGAAGUCAGAAUCGGCAAAGGUGAGCCGGGACAGCCUUCUUCCUCCGCCCAGCCGCCACAGUAAUUUGUCGUCAAGUCUGUGAGUAAAAUAUUAAUUUUAAUUAUAAUUUCGAUAUUAUUAUAUGUUCAGCAUGCCCAUGCAUCACUUAUAUGCAUAUAUUUAUGUAGUUAAACUCUAGGCACGAUUUAUGUUGCAUUCAUAACUGUUGAUGUACCAUGGAUGUUGUUGUGGUAAUUUGGAGCAGUGUUGGCGUGCGUGUGAUGUGGUGUGGACUAUGGAUAGGACGGGGUAGUCACGGCUUGAGUAAUUCGCUGGGACCCGUUCCUUCGAGGGGUAGUCACGGCUUGAGUAAUUCGCUGGGACCCUCGAUUUGGUUAUUAAGUGGAAGUCCGAGCUUGAGUAAUUCGCUGGCACCAGGUUGGAUUUAAGAGAGCUGUAUAGGGGAUCAGCUCCCAUAUGUUAUGAUUGAUACUACAGGGUGUGUGAGUGCUCCAAAUUACCUUUUUGAUGUUAUGAUGUGAAAAUGUUGUGUAUGUUGCAUUUCACUCUACAGGUUGCAUUAGUUUCAGAUAGUUAUAGAGAUUAUAGUUAAGAUUGAUAUUUUACU